GAUGAACGCUGGCGGCGUGCCUAAUACAUGCAAGUCGAGCGAACAGACGAGGAGCUUGCUCCUCUGACGUUAGCGGCGGACGGGUGAGUGACACGUGGAUAACCUACCUAUAAGACUGGGAUAACUUCGGGAAACCGGAGCUAAUACCGGAUAAUAUAUUGAACCGCAUGGUUCAAUAGUGAAAGACGGUUUUGCUGUCACUUAUAGAUGGAUCCGCGCCGCAUUAGCUAGUUGGUAAGGUAACGGCUUACCAAGGCAACGAUGCGUAGCCGACCUGAGAGGGUGAUCGGCCACACUGGAACUGAGACACGGUCCAGACUCCUACGGGAGGCAGCAGUAGGGAAUCUUCCGCAAUGGGCGAAAGCCUGACGGAGCAACGCCGCGUGAGUGAUGAAGGUCUUCGGAUCGUAAAACUCUGUUAUUAGGGAAGAACAAAUGUGUAAGUAACUAUGCACGUCUUGACGGUACCUAAUCAGAAAGCCACGGCUAACUACGUG
rnacentral:rRNA from 1 species